GACUCCAUCCCGAACUCAGAAGUGAAACACAAUCGCGCCGAUGGUAGUGUGGGGUCUCCCCAUGUGAGAGUAGGUCAUCGCCAAGC
rnacentral:rRNA from 1 species